UACGUAGGGGGCAAGCGUUGUCCGGAAUCAUUGGGCGUAAAGCGCGCGUAGGCGGUCCGGUAAGUCAGCUGUGAAAGUCAAGGGCUCAACCCUUGAAUGCCGGUUGAUACUGUCGGGCUAGAGUCCGGAAGAGGCGAGUGGAAUUCCCGGUGUAGCGGUGAAAUGCGCAGAUAUCGGGAAGAACACCCGUGGCGAAGGCGGUUCUCUGGGACGGUACUGACGCUGAGACGCGAAAGCGUGGGGAGCGAACAGG
rnacentral:rRNA from 1 species